GAAAAAUUUGAUUUUAGUUUUUUAAUUUAAUUUAUAUUUUUAUUAUAUGUAAAUUUUUUUUUUAUAUUAUUUUAAUAAUAAUUUAUAUUAAUUAAAAACAAUAAUAAAUUUUAUACAAUAAAAGAAAUUUUGAUAUAGAAAUAUAUAGUUAAUACUGAUAAAAUUUGUGCCAGCAAUCGCGGUUAAACAGGUGGUGUAAUUAAAUUUUAUUUAAUAAUAAUUAAUAAGGUUUUUUAUAUAAUUUAAGAUUAAAUUUAUUAGGUAAAAUUAUAAAUUUAAGUAAUAUUAUUAAUAAGAUUAUGAGGUUAUGAAAUUUUAAAAUUAAACUAGGAUUAGAUACCCUAUUAUAUAAAAUAUAAAUAUUAAUAUUAGGGAAGUAUUAGGUAUGUUCUUGAAAUUUAAAGAAUUUGGCGGUAUUUUAGUCUAUUCAGAGGAACCUGUCCUGUAAAUGAUAAUCCACGAUUAAUUAUACUUAAUUUAAUAGUUUAUAUAUCGUCGUAGGAGAAUAUCUUUGAAAAGAUUAAUAUUCAGGAUUUAUAAUAAAUAAAGAAAAUCAGAUCAAGGUGUAGUUUAUAAUUAAGAAGGAGAUGGGUUACAGUAAAUUUAUUUGUUGGCUAUGAUGUUUAAAGUUAUUAUUAAAAUUGGAUUUGGGAGUAAUUUAUUUAAAUUAAAAUAUUUGAUUUUAGCUCUAAAAUAUGUACAUAUCGCCCGUCGCUUUCAUUGAAUAUUAAAUUGAAAUAAGUCGUAACAUAGUAGGUGUACCGGAAGGUGUAUCUAGUUUGAU
rnacentral:ncRNA from 1 species